AGACAGAGGGUGCAAACGUUGCUCGGAAUUACUGGGCGUAAAGCGCGAGUAGGCGGUUUCGCAAGUCUUGUGUGAAAGCCCGGGGCUCAACCCCGGAAGUGCACAGGAUACUACGGAGCUUGAGUACUGAAGAGGAGAGCGGAAUUCCCGGUGUAGAGGUGAAAUUCGUAGAUAUCGGGAGGAACACCAGUGGCGAAGGCGGCUCUCUGGGCAGAUACUGACGCUGAGACGCGAAAGAGUGGGUAGCAAACAGGCUUAGAUACCCUGGUAGUCAACGCUGUAAACGAUGAGAACUGGGUGUUGUGGGUAUUGACCCCCGCGGUGCCGAAGCCAACGCGUUAAGUUCUCCGCCUGGGAAGUACGGCCGCAAGGCUAAA
rnacentral:rRNA from 1 species